rnacentral:rRNA from 1 species
ACAAGCGGUGGAGCAGGUGGUUUAACUCGAUGCAACGCGAAGAACCUUACCUGGUCUUGACAUCCCGGAGACCCUUAGGAACUAGGGGUGCUUCCAUCUGGAAGAAUCUGGAGACAGGUGCUGCAUGGCUGUCGUCAGCUCGUGUCGUGAGAUGUUGGGUUAAGUCCCGCAACGAGCGCAACCCUUGCCUUUAGUUGCCAGCAGUUCGGCUGGGCACUCUAAAGGGACUGCCGGUGUUAAACCGGAGGAAGGUGGGGAUGACGUCAAGUCCUCAUGGCCUUUAUGACCAGGGCUACACACGUACUACAAUGGCCGAUACAAAGGGCAGCGACACUGCGAGGUGAAGCCAAUCCCGUAAAAUCGGUCUCAGUCCGGAUUGGAGUCUGCAACUCGACUCCAUGAAGUUGGAAUCGCUAGUAAUCGUGGAUCAGCAUGCCACGGUGAAUACGUUCCCGGGCCUU